rnacentral:rRNA from 1 species
UGGGAAGGAUCAUUCAUAAUCAAGUGUUUUUAUGGCACUUUAAAUCCCAUAUCCACCUUGUGUGCAAUGUCAUUCUCACUGGGGUUACGUUUGUAAAAUUUCGUGAUCCGUUUGGGAUUUAUAUCUACUCAGAACUUUAGUCAUUUUGUCUGAAACAUAUUAUGAAUAACUUAAUUCAAAAUACAACUUUCAACAACGGAUCUCUUGGCUCUCGCAUCGAUGAAGAACGCAGCGAAAUGCGAUACGUAAUGUGAAUUGCAGAAUUCAGUGAAUCAUCGAAUCUUUGAACGCAUAUUGCGCUCUCUGGUAUUCCGGAGAGCAUGCUUGUUUGAGUAUCAGUAAACACCUCAACUCCCUUUCUUCUUGAAAUGGAGCUGGACUUGAGUGAUCCCAACGCUUUAUUCAUAAAGUGGCGGGUUACUUGAAAUGCAGGUGCAGCUGGACUUUUCUCUGAGCUAUAAGCAUAUCUAUUUAGUCUGCCUCAAAAACAGAUUAUUACCUUUGCUGCAGCUAACAUAAAGGAGAUUAGUUCUUGUGCUGACUGAUGCAGGAUUCACAAAGACCGCUUCGGCUGUCUUUGUAAACUCGAUCUCAAAUCAAGUAAGACUACCCGCUGAACUUAACAUUCA